rnacentral:rRNA from 1 species
UACGUAGGGGGCGAGCGUUGUUCGGAUUCAUUGGGCGUAAAGGGUGCGUAGGCGGCGCGGUAAGUCGGGUGUGAAAUCUCGGGGCUUAACUCCGAAACUGCAUUCGAUACUGCCGUGCUUGAGGACUGGAGAGGAGACUGGAAUUUACGGUGUAGCGGUGAAAUGCGUAGAUAUCGUAAGGAAGACCAGUGGCGAAGGCGGGUCUCUGGACAGUUCCUGACGCUGAGGCACGAAGGCCAGGGGAGCAAACGGG